UACGAAGGGGGCUAGCGUUGUUCGGAAUUACUGGGCGUAAAGCGCACGUAGGCGGAUAUUUAAGUCAGGGGUGAAAUCCCGCAGCUCAACUGCGGAACUGCCUUUGAUACUGGGUAUCUUGAGUAUGGAAGAGGUUAGUGGAAUUGCGAGUGUAGAGGUGAAAUUCGUAGAUAUUCGCAGGAACACCAGUGGCGAAGGCGGCUAACUGGUCCAUAACUGACGCUGAGGUGCGAAAGCGUGGGGAGCAACAGG
rnacentral:rRNA from 1 species